CAGCCGCCGCGGUAACACCAGCCCCUCGAGUGGUGGGGACUAUUAUUUGGCCUAAAGCGUCCGUAGCUGGCUGUAUCCGUCUCCCGGUAAAUCCGGCGUCCUAAGCGUCGGUUCUCGGGUGAUACCAUACAGCUAGAGGGUGGGAUAGGUGAGCGGUAUUUCUGGGGUAGGGGCGAAAUCCUUUGAUCCCAGGAGGACCACCAGUGGCGAAGGCUGCUCACUAGAACACGCCUGACGGUCAGGGACGAAAGCUGGGGCAGCGAACCGGAUUAGAUACCCGGGUAGUCCCAGCUGUAAACGAUGCUAGCUAGGUGUUGGGUCGGCCACACGCCGCCCCAGUGCCGCAGGGAAGCCGUUAAGCUAGCCGCCUGGGGAGUACGGCCGCAAGGCUGAAACUUAAAGGAAUUGGCGGGGGAGCAC
rnacentral:rRNA from 1 species